CAACACCUGUUAUAUACAGUUCAGUAUAUAGAGACACGAGACGACGAGGCUCCAGUUCCAUACAGUGCAAAAGAACAACAAUAAAUAUAGGAAAAAUAAGAAUACGUUUUUGGUGUGUUUAAAAAAAAAGGAGCAAGAAAAAGCAAUAACAAAAAACUAAAACACUUCCUCUCUCUCUCUCUCUCUCUCUGUGUGUGUUACCGUUCUCACCUCCGUACGGGCGGGUACAUGGACUGGGCAGACGCUUGCUGACUGGCGGCGAUGGCGGAGCACGAGAGUCCUGAAAAAAAGACAGGCAGCCAUUACACCUCUUUUAGGCUUUAUCUGGAUUUUGGAUUCUGGAGUUGGAGAAACUGCCUUCAAAUUUCUGUGUGCAGAGCAAUGGCCAAGAAAAGGAAAGACUUCCCCGAGUGAAAAAAAGAUGAAGAUACAAGUUGGUGAUGAUCCAGAGCAGCUGGUCUCAGGAAAUGAAGAAAAACCCUGAUCGCCUUAUCUACAAAAACAAGAAUAAAUUGCGUCUAGUCUCAAUGGCUGAGACGGAAGAGCAACACAGCGACACGUUAACCCCGACUGCUGCAGUUCCUGUAUGAACUGAGCAACUCUGAAAAUCCAAGGAAAA
ensembl:lncRNA